rnacentral:lncRNA from 1 species
GACAAAAAAAUUGGAGAAAAGAGACGCAUGUUCGCGUGUGUAAAAGAAAUAGGGCGCCCCUCCUCUAUGUGCAACUUUUCUUAUUUUGUUCUCUCUUUCUAUUUGAAUUUGAUUCAAACUAAGAAGGAGAUAAUGUCUAAAAGAAAAGGUUUUUAGAUCUUAAUUUUUUGUGAUAAAAUUUUGGAAAGAGAAGGGGUGUGCGCUAUUUUAGUUGGGAGUCUCCUUUCUUGCCACACAACCUAAUCUCAACGCAUCUAAUCCCUCCAUUUGGAUUUGAAUGCCUAAGAUCAAAUGAGAUCUUAUUUAUUAGGGUGUUAAGAAGAGGUUAGGCAUGAGAUUACAAAGAUGUGUGCAACAAAAAAUAAAGGUGGUGUGAGGUUUUUGGCAUGAAGGAGCGGAUGGCUUCUUUAGGACACAAAACAAUCUCAACACCCCUACUUGCUUUCUUCCUUACAUCUCCAACGCCCA